AGCUGAUCAUUGGGUGUAAAGCGUGCGCAGGCGGUUUUGUAAGACAGAGGUGAAAUCCCCGGGCUCAACCUAGGAACUGCCUUUGUGACUGCAAGGCUGGAGUGCGGCAGAGGGGGAUGGAAUUCCGCGUGUAGCAGUGAAAUGCGUAGAUAUGCGGAGGAACACCGAUGGCGAAGGCAAUCCCCUGGGCCUGCACUGACGCUCAUGCACGAAAGCGUGGGGAGCAAACA
rnacentral:rRNA from 1 species